UACGGAGGGGGCUAGCGUUGUUAGGAAUUACUGGGCGUAAAGCGCACGUAGGCGGAUUGUUAAGUCGGGGGUGAAAUCCCGGGGCCCAACCCCGGAACUGCAAUUGAAACUGCCUCGCUAGAGUCCCGGAGAGGAAGGCGGAAUUCCCGGUGUAGAGGUGAAAUUCGUAGAUAUUCGGAAGAACACCAGUGGCGAAGGCGGCUCACUGGCCCGGUACUGACGCUGAGGUGCGAAAGCGUGGGGAGCAAACAGG
rnacentral:rRNA from 1 species